rnacentral:rRNA from 1 species
GCGCAGACGGUUGAUUAAGUCUGAUGUGAAAGCCCGGAGCUCAACUCCGGAAUGGCAUUGGAAACUGGUUAACUUGAGUGCAGUAGAGGUAAGUGGAACUCCAUGUGUAGCGGUGGAAUGCGUAGAUAUAUGGAAGAACACCAGUGGCGAAGGCGGCUUACUGGACUGUAACUGACGUUGAGGCUCGAAAGUGUGGUAGCAAACA